CCCACGGCUACAAAACAAGUGAGAAGAGGUGGGAGAAAGAGAAACUACGCCACCUCCUCUGCAGCCGAGCGCACGCAGCAGCCUGGCGUGACAAGUGGGCGACGCCAGGGACAGAGAGUGGGGGUCCUCCGCCCGCUCCGGGGACCCUGUCGCCCACCGUGGUGCGCUGAGCAACUUUUAGCCGGCAGCCCCGCACCUGUCUCAGAGUCCCCAUCGCUCCCCACCAACCAUCAUGGGAAAAUUCUAGAAGAAUACGCUCUCGGAAUCUACGUGCGCAUCAUUUUCCUCCUCACUCCAGAGGAAGGAACCAGAAAAGAGAGCAAAGCGGUGUAGUGUUCAGCCUCAAGAACCCCCGUGCAUCCCAGGGAUGGCGCCCUCUACAGGAGGGUCCUUGCCUCACUUUCGGGAGUCUCUUAACUGCAUCUCGUUGAUUCCUAGCGUUAGAAGAACUGAGCUAACAGGAGUCUGCCACCUCUCUGCCUUGCUGAUGCACCCAGGCAGGGCUCACUGGUUUGCAGGAGUACAUGACCACAGAUCAGAGCCAUUGGCUGCACAGAUACCUGACUCUGGGCUCUCAGGAAGACUCAGGCAGAGAUGGGGAGUCGGCCUGCAAGCUGGGACGCUAGAGCUCACGUGCAGUUCUCCAUUUAGCUAGGAGGUUUCCAGGGCAACCACCGAAGCAGUAAUUAAAGAUGAAGAGCUAAAAGGUAAGUACUUCCAAACCUGAAUCCUGAAGGAGGUGGUCCGCAGGCUGGUGUCACAGUGUGCACUCUUAUUCACUUAACAUUAAGUAAAUAAUUUUUUAAAUACAUUUUUGAAAACCUCUGAUGAGAGGAUACACACUAAAUUAGGAUGUUCAUGCUCUGCUUUGAUUUGUAUCUUUUCACGCGCGCACGUAUUCUUGUAUGUACGUACACACCACACACACACACACACAUUUUUAUGCUUCCACCAGCCAGUCAUGGGACCAGGCAUUGGGAUACCAGGGCUUAAGGUGUCUUUCGGGUUCCUGUUUUGAACGUCCUAGCAUGCAUGUAUAUAUAUAUACAUACAUACAUAUAUAUAUAUACACAUUUAAGGCAUGCAAACGAGCAACUGCAGAGGCGUCUACAGUACUUAGCGUGUAGCAGGAACAUCCAGGCUCUCCAGGCAGUUCA
rnacentral:lncRNA from 1 species